AGAGCGAACGCUGGCGGCAGGCCUAACACAUGCAAGUCGAACGGACCCUUCGGGGUUAGUGGCGGACGGGUGAGUAACACGUGGGAACGUGCCUUUAGGUUCGGAAUAGCUCCUGGAAACGGGUGGUAAUGCCGAAUGUGCCCUUCGGGGGGAAAGAUUUAUCGCCUUUAGAGCGGCCCGCGUCUGAUUAGCUAGUUGGUGAGGUAAAGGCUCACCAAGGCUACGAUCAGUAGCUGGUCUGAGAGGAUGACCAGCCACAUUGGGACUGAGACACGGCCCAAACUCCUACGGGAGGCAGCAGUGGGGAAUCUUGCGCAAUGGGCGAAAGCCUGACGCAGCCAUGCCGCGUGAAUGAUGAAAGGUCUUAAGGAUUGUAAAAUUCUUUCAGUAGGACGAUAAUGACGUACCUACAGAAGAAGCCCCGGACUAACUUCGUGCCAGCAGCCGC
rnacentral:rRNA from 1 species